AACGCGAAGAACCUUACCUACUCUUGACAUCUACAGGAUCUGGUGGAGACACUGGAGUGCCUUCGGGAACUGUAAGACAGGUGCUGCAUGGCUGUCGUCAGCUCGUGUCGUGAGAUGUUGGGUUAAGUCCCGUAACGAGCGCAACCCUUAUUCUUAGUUGCCAGCCAGUAAAGUGGGGAACUCUAGGGAGACUGCCGGUGACAAGCCGGAGGAAGGUGGGGACGACGUCAAGUCAUCAUGGCCCUUACGAGUAGGGCUACACGCGUGUUACAAUGGACGGUACAAAGGGAAGCGAAGCCGCGAGGCGGAGCAAAUCCUAUCAAAGCCGUUCGUAGUCCGGAUUGGAGUCUGCAACUCGACUCCAUGAAGUUGGAAUCGCUAGUAAUCGUGGAUCAGAACGCCACGGUGAAUACGUUCCCGGGCCUUGUACACACCGUAGAGAC
rnacentral:rRNA from 1 species